GACAGAGGGUGCAAACGUUGCUCGGAAUCACUGGGCGUAAAGGGCGUGUAGGCGGGAAGGAAAGUCAGAUGUGAAAUCCCCAGGCUCAACCUGGGAACUGCAUUUGAAACUCCCUUUCUUGAGUACCGGAGAGGAAAGUGGAAUUCCUGGUGUAGAGGUGAAAUUCGUAGAUAUCAGGAGGAACACCAGUGGCGAAGGCGGCUUUCUGGACGGUAACUGACGCUGAGACGCGAAAAGCGUGGGGAGCAAACAGG
rnacentral:rRNA from 1 species